UUUGCUGACGAGUGGCGGACGGGUGAGUAAUGUCUGGGAAACUGCCUGAUGGAGGGGGAUAACUACUGGAAACGGUAGCUAAUACCGCAUAACGUCGCAAGACCAAAGAGGGGGACCUUCGGGCCUCUUGCCAUCGGAUGUGCCCAGAUGGGAUUAGCUAGUAGGUGGGGUAACGGCUCACCUAGGCGACGAUCCCUAGCUGGUCUGAGAGGAUGACCAGCCACACUGGAACUGAGACACGGUCCAGACUCCUACGGGAGGCAGCAGUGGGGAAUAUUGCACAAUGGGCGCAAGCCUGAUGCAGCCAUGCCGCGUGUAUGAAGAAGGCCUUCGGGUUGUAAAGUACUUUCAGCGGGGAGGAAGGGAGUAAAGUUAAUACCUUUGCUCAUUGACGUUACCCGCAGAAGAAGCACCGGCUAACUCCGUGCCAGCAGCCGCGGUAAUACGGAGGGUGCAAGCGUUAAUCGGAAUUACUGGGCGUAAAGCG
rnacentral:rRNA from 1 species